rnacentral:lncRNA from 1 species
CUGAGCAACAACUCUGUUGAAGAUGCAGAGCAGUUUGGUAGUUUUUGCGGGAGCUUCAGUUUUCGAGUUGCCGGGAACAAAUAAAUGCUACGGCCUGCCAUUCAACUUGCGCGAUGAGGAAUUCUUGGUUCCACUGAGCUAGUGCAUGUUACAGUGGCAUCCGGCCGUGUCCCUGGUGGUAGAAUCGACCUCACUGCGAACGGACCAUGCUAUUGACCUAUUAAUCAAUAACGUAGUGAGCGGCGCUCAACAGCCACUCCAAGGGUCAGGCGAGGAAAGUGUGUGAGGGACAUCCGGAAGAGAGCUUCAACACGUCUUCGAGAACACACAACUCUACUGGUUCUUUCUUGGUGGACCUAAGCUGUGCAUCGAAACACAUGUCAGGGUUUACCGGCAACGCUGCUGCAUCUUUCUCUUACGGUCAUUGAUCGAGGGCAUGUACGUGACACCGUCUGGUCCGAGAUAGGGGUGUUCCCAGUUGACGCGUUUGUUCGCGGGAGUACCAGUCUUCGAUUCGUGCUCAUCCCGACCGCCAUCUGUUGAGUGCGCGCGUUCUGAGUUCGACGCCUCCAUCGUCUGGCUAGAAUAGUUUCUCGGAUGUUUGGCAUCAAGAUUAUUUCGGUUCCCCCACGCGAACCGAUCUCUGCCAUGAGGGGUGUUUACUAGUUCCCCAUCCGGAAGCAUACCAAAGGACCUUGUGAGGCUCGCCGUUCUCAUUUUUGCCUUGUCGUCCUGCAUUUUCGCGUUGUAUCAUGGAAAGCGAAGCAGCGAGUGAACUGGGCAGCUUUGUAGAUGAGGGUUCUUCUGAACGGUGUCCUUGUUAACGUAGUAACAUACCUGUGAAAGGAACAAAAACAG